rnacentral:rRNA from 1 species
GAUGAACGCUGACAGAAUGCUUAACACAUGCAAGUCGAUUGGUAAGUGGUGCUUUCCCCCUUGCCACCUUGGCUGCCGGGUGAUUAACGCGUCAUGGACUUACUUGCAGGACUGGGAUAACAGGGGUAAACUCCUGACACUACCGGAUAAUGUCAUUGAGCUUUAUGUCUUUAUUAUUUAAGGAGACGCCUGCGGAGAGCCUUGCUUCCUAUUAGCUAGUUGUUGCUGUAAUGUCUCACCACGGCGAAGAUAGGUAGCCGGCCUGAGAGGGUGGACGGCCACAAGGGGACUGAGAGAAGGACCUGACACCUACGGGAGGCAGAAGUGAGGAAGAUUGGACAAUGGGGGCAAACCUGAGACAGCAAUUGUGUGGGAACGAAGAAGGGUAACGGAUGGUAAAGUGCGUUCAGCAAGGAAGAAGUAAGUGACGGUACCUGCAGAAGAAGCGACGGCUAAAUACGUG